CCUGCCGUCUACUCUUGGCCAGCCUUCUGAAAGGAAGAUUAAUCCAGGAUGGGAUCAUGAGUUCACAUGUCCGCAUGAUUAAAGGUAUUUUCCGGUAGACGAUGGGGAUGCGUUCCAUUAGAUAGUAGGCGGGGUAACGGCCCACCUAGUCAACGAUGGAUAGGGGUUCUGAGAGGAAGGUCCCCCACAUUGGAACUGAGACACGGUCCAAACUCCUACGGGAGGCAGCAGUGAGGAAUAUUGGUCAAUGGGCGAUGGCCUGAACCAGCCAAGUAGCGUGAAGGAUGACUGCCCUAUGGGUUGUAAACUUCUUUUAUAAAGGAAUAAAGUCGGGUAUGCAUACCCGUUUGCAUGUACUUUAUGAAUAAGGAUCGGCUAACUCCGUGCCAGCAGCCGCGGUAAUACGGAGGAUCCGAGCGUUAUCCGGAUUUAUUGGGUUUAAAGGGAGCGUAGAUGGAUGUUUAAGUCAGUUGUGAAAGUUUGCGGCUCAACCGUAAAAUUGCAGUUGAUACUGGAUGUCUUGAGUGCAGUUGAGGCAGGCGGAAUUCGUGGUGUAGCGGUGAAAUGCUUAGAUAUCACGAAGAACUCCGAUUGCGAAGGCAGCCUGCUAAGCUGCAACUGACAUUGAGGCUCGAAAGUGUGGGUAUCAAGCAGGAUUAGAUACCCUGGUAGUCCACACGGUAAACGAUGAAUACUCGCUGUUUGCGAUAUACGGCAAGCGGCCAAG
rnacentral:rRNA from 1 species